rnacentral:rRNA from 1 species
CCCUUAGAUGUUCUGGGCCGCACACGCGCUACACUGAAGGAGGCAGCGUGUACUCCUGGAUCGAAAGAUUUGGGUAACCCGCGAAUCUCCUUCGUGCCAGGGAUUGAGGUUUGCAAUUAUCCUUCAUGAACGAGGAAUUCCCAGUAAGUGCAAGUCAUAAGCUUGCGCUGACUACGUCCCUGCCCUUUGUACACACCGCCCGUCGCUACUACCGAUUGAAUGAUUUAGUGAGGACUUCGGACUGGGACCGAUGCGGCUUUCGGGCUGCGUCGGUAUUCUGGAAAGAUGGCCAAACUGUAUCAUUUAGAGGAAGUAAAAGUCGUAACA